rnacentral:misc_RNA from 1 species
GAAAUGCGAUAACUAGUGUGAAUUGCAGAAUUCCGUGAAUCAUCGAGUCUUUGAACGCACAUUGCGCCCCCUGGUAUUCCGGGGGGCAUGCCUGUCCGAGCGUCAUUGCUGCCCAUCAAGCACGGCUUGUGUGUUGGGUCGGCGUCCCCUCUCCGGGGGGGACGGGCCCCAAAGGCAGCGGCGGCACCGCGUCCGAUCCUCGAGCGUAUGGGGCUUUGUCACCCGCUCUGUAGGCCCGGCCGGCGCUUGCCGAACGCAAAUCAAUCUUUUUCCAGGUUGACCUCGGAUCAGGUAGGGAUACCCGCUGAACUUAAGC